UACGAGUGUGCGUCUUUUGAAAAAAGGA
rnacentral:sRNA from 1 species